rnacentral:rRNA from 1 species
UUCUAAGGCCAAAUCACGCAUGUGCCCGAUCUCAUUAGACCUCGAAAGCUAAGCAGAUUUGAGGCUGGAUAGUGCUUGAAUGGGUGAUCACCACGCACAAAAUCGGUGUUGUAUGCC